rnacentral:rRNA from 1 species
AGUGAACGCUGGCGGUAGGCCUAACACAUGCAAGUCGAACGGCAGCACAGUAAGAGCUUGCUCUUACGGGUGGCGAGUGGCGGACGGGUGAGGAAUACAUCGGAAUCUACUUUUUCGUGGGGGAUAACGUAGGGAAACUUACGCUAAUACCGCAUACGCCCUACGGGUGAAAGCAGGGGAUCUUCGGACCUUGCGCGAUUGAAUGAGCCGAUGUCGGAUUAGCUAGUUGGCGGGGUAAAGGCCCACCAAGGCGACGAUCCGUAGCUGGUCUGAGAGGAUGAUCGCCCACACUAGAGCUGAGACACGGUCCAGGCUCCUACGGGAGGCAGCAGUGGGGAAUAUUGGACAAUGGGCGCAAGCCUGAUCCAGCCAUACCGCGUGGGUUAAGAAGGCCUUCGGGUUGUAAAGCCCUUUUGUUGGGAAAGAAAAGCAGCAGGUUAAUACCCCGCUGUUCUGACGGUACCCAAAGAAUAAGCACCGGCUAACUUCGUG